rnacentral:rRNA from 1 species
AUUGAACGCUGGCGGAAUGCUUUACACAUGCAAGUCGAACGGCAGCACGGGGCAACCUGGUGGCGAGUGGCGAACGGGUGAGUAAUACAUCGGAACGUGCCCAAUCGUGGGGGAUAACGUAGCGAAAGUUACGCUAAUACCGCAUACGAUCUACGGAUGAAAGCGGGGGAUCGCAAGACCUCGCGCGAAUGGAGCGGCCGAUGUCAGAUUAGGUAGUUGGUGGGGUAAAGGCUCACCAAGCCAACGAUCUGUAGCUGGUCUGAGAGGACGACCAGCCACACUGGAACUGAGACACGGUCCAGACUCCUACGGGAGGCAGCAGUGGGGAAUUUUGGACAAUGGGCGCAAGCCUGAUCCAGCCAUUCCGCGUGCAGGAUGAAGGCCUUCGGGUUGUAAACUGCUUUUGUACGGACGAAACGGACGAGCUCUAAUACAGUUUGCUAAUGACGGUACCGUAACGAAUAAGCACCGGCGUAACUACGUGCCAGCAGCCGCGGUAAAC